GCCUCCCUAGCUCAGUGGUAGAGCGCCGUUCUUGUAAAGCGGAUGUCGUCGGUUCAAUCCCGACGGGAGGCUCCA
rnacentral:tRNA from 5 species